GACGAACGCUGGCGGCGUGCCUAAUACAUGCAAGUAGAACGCUGAAGAGAGGAGCUUGCUCUUCUUGGAUGAGUUGCGAACGGGUGAGUAACGCGUAGGUAACCUGCCUUGUAGCGGGGGAUAACUAUUGGAAACGAUAGCUAAUACCGCAUAACAAUGGAUGACACAUGUCAUUUAUUUGAAAGGGGCAAUUGCUCCACUACAAGAUGGACCUGCGUUGUAUUAGCUAGUAGGUGAGGUAAUGGCUCACCUAGGCGACGAUACAUAGCCGACCUGAGAGGGUGAUCGGCCACACUGGGACUGAGACACGGCCCAGACUCCUACGGGAGGCAGCAGUAGGGAAUCUUCGGCAAUGGGGGCAACCCUGACCGAGCAACGCCGCGUGAGUGAAGAAGGUUUUCGGAUCGUAAAGCUCUGUUGUAAGUCAAGAACGGAUGUGAGAGUGGAAAGUUCACACUGUGACGGUAGCUUACCAGAAAGGGACGGCUAACUACGUG
rnacentral:rRNA from 1 species